UACGUAGGGUGCGAGCGUUGUCCGGAAUUACUGGGCGUAAAGAGCUCGUAGGUGGUUUGUCGCGUUGUCCGUGAAAACUUGGGGCUUAACCCUGAGCUUGCGGUCGAUACGGGCAUGACUGGAGUUCGGCAGGGGAGACUGGAAUUCCUGGUGUAGCGGUGAAAUGCGCAGAUAUCAGGAGGAACACCGGUGGCGAAGGCGGGUCUCUGGGCCGAUACUGACGCUGAGGAGCGAAAGCGUGGGGAGCGAACAGG
rnacentral:rRNA from 1 species